CCUACGGGGGGCAGCAGUGGGGAAUAUUGGACAAUGGGGGCAACCCUGAUCCAGCCAUGCCGCGUGUGUGAAGAAGGCCCUCGGGUUGUAAAUCACUUUCAGUGAGGAAGAACGCCUGGUGGUUAAUACCCAUCAGGAAAGACAUCACUCACAGAAGAAGCACCGGCUAACUCCGUGCCAGCAGCCGCGGUAAUACGGAGGGUGCGAGCGUUAAUCGGAAUUACUGGGCGUAAAGCGCGCGUAGGUGGCUUGAUAAGCCGGUUGUGAAAGCCCCGGGCUCAACCUGGGAACGGCAUCCGGAACUGUUAAGCUAGAGUGCAGGAGAGGAAGGUAGAAUUCCCGGUGUAGCGGUGAAAUGCGUAGAGAUCGGGAGGAAUACCAGUGGCGAAGGCGGCCUUCUGGACUGACACUGACACUGAGGUGCGAAAGCGUGGGUAGCAAACAGGAUUAGAUACCCCUGUAGUC
rnacentral:rRNA from 1 species